AACGAACGCUGGCGGCAUGCCUAACACAUGCAAGUCGAACGAUUGCCUUCGGGUGAUAGUGGCGCACGGGUGCGUAACGCGUGGGAAUCUGCCCUUAGGUUCGGAAUAACAGCUGGAAACGGCUGCUAAUACCGGAUGAUAUCGCGAGAUCAAAGAUUUAUCGCCUGAAGAUGAGCCCGCGUUGGAUUAGGUAGUUGGUGGGGUAAAGGCCUACCAAGCCGACGAUCCAUAGCUGGUCUGAGAGGAUGAUCAGCCACACUGGGACUGAGACACGGCCCAGACUCCUACGGGAGGCAGCAGUGGGGGAUAUUGGACAAUGGGCGCAAGCCUGAUCCAGCAAUGCCGCGUGAGUGAUGAAGGCGCUAGGGUUGUAAAGCUCUUUUACCCGGGAAGAUAAUGACUGUACCGGGAGAAUAAGCCCCGGCUAACUCCGUG
rnacentral:rRNA from 1 species